rnacentral:rRNA from 1 species
GACGAACGCUGGCGGCGUGCUUAACACAUGCAAGUCGAACGGAAAGGCCCUGCUUUUGUGGGGUGCUCGAGUGGCGAACGGGUGAGUAACACGUGAGUAACCUGCCCUUGACUUUGGGAUAACUUCAGGAAACUGGGGCUAAUACCGGAUAGGAGCUCCUGCUGCAUGGUGGGGGUUGGAAAGUUUCGGCGGUUGGGGAUGGACUCGCGGCUUAUCAGCUUGUUGGUGGGGUAGUGGCUUACCAAGGCUUUGACGGGUAGCCGGCCUGAGAGGGUGACCGGCCACAUGGGGACUGAGAUACGGACCAGACUCCUACGGGAGGCAGCAGUGGGGAAUAUUGCACAAUGGGCGGAAGCCUGAUGCAGCAACGCCGCGGGCGGGAUGACGGCCUUCGGGUUGUAAACCGCUUUCGCCUGUGACGAAGCGUGAGUGACGGUAAUGGGUAAAGAAGCACCGGCUAACUACGUG